AAUUAUCCUUUCCCCUGUCCACCCAUAGCCCUGUGCCUGGAAAGGGAAAGGAAGGAGAAGAGGAAGCAAAACUGCGACAGGAGGGAAUCAGACCAUGGACAUGUUGGAAGCUGGAAUAUACAUCCUGCAUUACAAAGUGCAAAAUACUACAUGCUCAGAGCCCAAGCAUGAUGUCUGAAACAGUCCACAGCAAGAUGUAAGAGACAAACCCACCACCCUCUCCCUCCUCUCUGGGACAUGCUCCAGGUGCUCCUCCCCAGGUGCCUUUGAGAAACAGUUGGAUUUUUGCUUGGUUUUGUUUUAUUCUCCAUCCUCAGUGGAUUGGAAUUGA